rfam:Asian citrus Psyllid, Diaphorina citri - Florida Strain, whole genome shotgun sequence.
GCUCCCAUGGCGUAGUGGUCACUGCGCUCGCCUUGCACGCGGGAGACCCGGGUUCGAGUCCCGGCGGGGUCA